rnacentral:rRNA from 1 species
GACGAACGCUGGCGGCGUGCUUAACACAUGCAAGUCGAACGGAAAGGCCCUGCUUUUGUGGGGUGCUCGAGUGGCGAACGGGUGAGUAACACGUGAGUAACCUGCCCUUGACUUUGGGAUAACUUCAGGAAACUGGGGCUAAUCCCGGAUAGGAGCUCCUGCUGCAUGGUGGGGGUUGGAAAGUUUCGGCGGGUGGGGAUGGACUCGCGGCUUAACAGCUUGCUGGUGGGGGAGUGGCCUACCAAGGCUCGGACGGGUCGCCGGCCUGGGAGGGGGACCGGGGACAGGGGGGCUGAGGGAGGGACCAGUGGGCUACGGGGGGCAACGGGGGGGAAUAUGGCACAGUGGGCGGGAGCCUGAGGCGGCGGCGCCGGGGGCGGGAUGACGGCCUGCGGGGUGUAAACCGCUGUCGCCUGUGACGAAGCGGGAGUGACGGUAAUGGGUAAAGAAGCACCGGCUAACUACGUG